CCUUUGGGGGACAUGGAAGCGGUACUCGCUCUCCACACAAAGCAGGGGCAAGGUAGGUCAUUGGAGUUGUCGCUGGAGUCGAGUAGCACCAUUCUCACCACAACUUCUCGCCGUGUCGUUGAAAAUGGAAAUGACCUUGUCUGUCUCUGUGAGGGGCCUUGUUGCUCUUUGUUCUCUUUAGCCGAUCGCAAGCUUAUUUUGCUAGGCACGUACUUUUUUCGGCGGUCUGGAAACCUUCUAGUAUUCAGCGUCGUUGCUGGUGAGGAGGUGAAGGAGUUUCCUGAUGGCACCAGCGCACAGAUCCCCGCAUCUGCUGAUAAAAGUGUGCUGCGACUUUCUGAUGACGGGGAUGUUAACUUCGUGGGGUUUAUCGGCGAUGCCCUUGUUGUUGGCACCAGCACCGGAUAUCUCGGUAUGCUUUUUGUGAGCCGUGAUCGACGUUGUGUUCUCGGAAAGUCGACACGCGUGCAAGAAAGACAUGGAGUGAUCUGGUGCAUUCGCUACGAUUCAAGGGAGUGUGUGUGUUUAUCUUCCGACACCAUGACGAUUAUCCCUAUUAUUCCAGAGGCCGAGGAUGCCAUCAUGCGCACCAAAGAGUUCGAGGGCGGCUCAGUCGCGUCAGUGGCCGCGUCGCAGACUGUGCCGGACUGCUUUUUUGUAGCUCAUGGGGAAAGCCGUAAUCUGACUGUAGUGCAUGGAGAUUCUGGCCGCACUCUCCAUAAGGAAACGCUCUCGCUGUUGUCGGAGGAGCUGGACCGAGCCUCGGACGUAGCGCGAGUGGUCCCGGCGAUUUAUGCGCAUGGCUGCAGGGGUGUGUGCUUGCUUGCCGUAGUCUAUCCGGACGCUGUGUCGUUUACUGCAUGGGAAAAUCACUUGCUGGUGUCCACCGCAGUGGUGAAGAAUGAGCUCACUACCUCCUUUGGUCUUGCGUUUUGGAAAGGCACGGCAGAUGGUGCCCGGCUGUGCGUUGUGCGCUCCGACUCUCGAUGCCUAAUGUAUGAUGUGGUGAUGAGCAAGAGAUUUCCUUGCGUGGAGGAAAUUGUAGUGGCUCAGCAGGUGACGUUGCCGAGUCAUGUGGCCUGUCUGAUGGGUGGGGUGGAGUCUGGCGUCUUCCUGUGUUGGCGCAGUGGCACCUCACUAGCGCGCUACACCGCUCUACUGCAAUCCCGCGCGGAAGAGGACAAGUUCGAGCCUAUCGAGGUGUACAGCGCUGUCCGCCCCUCGCUUGCCUCGGCCUCGGUGCUGCUGCUCGAGGUAGUUCCGAUUUACGGCAGCUACGGCGUUGUGUGCUUGUUCAGCACGGGAGAGUGCCACCUUUCGCUGUACAACAAUCCUGGUACGGUACUGCUCGCAGUCGAGGAGCACCCCUAUGAUGCAACGAGCUGUCUUGCAUUCGAGGGCGGCGCAGGCAGGUACUCUUGUGUGCUCGGGUUCAACGACGGCGACAUAAGAGUGUUCGUUGGCGGACAAAUAUGGGCAAACGUUCGUGUCGCACACUGUGGUGCCGUGGAUCGGCUGCUGAGGCUCCCGAAAAUGAAUGAAACAGACGACACGUUGUUCGUGAGCAUGUGCACUGAAAUGGGUACUGUGUGCUGCCACGCGGGCGAAAAAGCUGCGGUGUCGCGGACCAUGUGCUCCCCAUCGAGGCCGCUUACCGCUUGCCUGCUUAACCGAAAGCUAGAGUACAUGUUUCUGUUCUCGGAGGAUAACGGCAACCUCUGGCACCUCCCCACGUGUCGUCUCGAGCGGGCGUUUCGGUCGCUUCCUGGGCCACUGAAUCAGCAGCUGGACAACCUCCUCGAGCACCACUGGGCAUCCGCGCUGAGCAUCAUCAGGUACCGGUUUGUAGGAGGGGAGCACUACGCAAUCCGUAUCGAUGUCGACUCCCUUCUCAGUGGCCUUGGUGUAGGGGAGCAGCCCGUGAAGCGUUCGUCGCUGGAGUACAGCUCGGCAUUGCGGCUGAUGCUCGGGUGCCUCGGCGAGAGCUGUCCUCCUUCAUUUCCCAGAGAGAAUGCUCUUUGCGAGGCGUUAGAUGACUUGGGCUUAGUCGUAACUGGAGCGCAGACUCACGAGUGUGUUUGGUGCGCGAUCCUGUUGCUUUGCGGACUUCUAAGCCGCACAUCGGAGGGAGCAUGCGCGGCUGCCAUCUACUCCAUAAUAGAGUCGCUUGGUGACAAGCUUACCUCCAGUCUGGCUCCAGAUCCAUACCGGCAGGCCGACGCCGUGCAGCACUUUUUAUCGCGCUUCUAUACCCUGCGACGGUCAACACCUGCAGCAUUCCGCCACGCACUUCGGCUGAUGGCAACGAAGAUGUCUGUGUGUAGCCUCGCCGAUGUCGUGAACUUACUGCGCUCACGUGCGUUUGCCGCGCAAUCGCACGGAGCUGCUGAAGACGAAGCACCUGGUGCGCCGCCGCUGAUUGAAAGUGGAAGCGCAUUUGCUGCUCUAUCGGUUCUGUUGAACCUGGCUUCUCAGCGUGCCGACUACAGCCUCCAAGCGGAAACGCCGCUUUUCAGCCUCCUACGCCAGAGCACUGUAGAGGCUCAGCGCGCCGUCACGGCCGCGUUGGACGACGACCACACGCUUUCCAAUCGGCCCGCAACACUGCUCGGGUUGAUAGAGAGCCACGCCACUUUGUGUGCCUUGGAUGAAAAGGACCCCUUCCAGAGCUUCGUGAAGGCCCUUAUGAGGGAGGCUUUUCGUGGGAGUGGCGAGGAAGCCAAGCAGGCGUCGCUGGAAGCGCUGGAGCGGCUGAUGGCGCAGGAUCCGCAGGGCUUUCUCUCUACCUACAUCGUAACAGACUUUCACCUUAACGCAGAGUGCCGGCCGUACAUUAUUGUCUUCCUUGCUCACUUCGUUAGAAACUUCCCAUACGAGGCCUAUACCGUGUUUAGCACAAUCGCGGACAUAUUUGUGAGCGGUCUGAGCGAUCUUUCUUCCGCCAGCAAGGACGCUGCGGCCAUCUAUCAUACUGCUGUGUCGCAGCUGCUCCGCGUCACGGCCGCGUCGCUCCCCAGCGUAUCGCUACAGCAGAGCCUGCGGCACGUGGCUGUGGGCCGAAGCGACGGCAAAGUGGUGGUGUACAACGUGAAGGCAGCAUCGAUCGUAACCGCCUUCCAGGCUCACUCAGCGCCGGUUUUGGGGGUUGCCUACAGUGGCAACACAUCGACUCUUGAUAUCGCCACCAUCGCCGAGACUCUGGACGAGAUCAAGGUGUGGCGGUCGCCAAAUCAGUCGUCUUCCCUCACCAGCUUCUUCAGCGGCAGCGGGAGCGCGAGCUUCAAGCUGGUUACCGCCGUGCCUGUGCCGUCGAUGGGUCUGCGUGGAGAAAGCGUGUCGCUCCUCAUCAAGUUCUUUCAGCUCAACUGGCUGUCGCCGCAGUGUGUCGAGUUUUCUUCUCCGUGGCACGGUAAGGUGCAAGUGGCGCUGCCGUGAGCUCCAUUGCCUUCUCCCAGGUGUCGGUGUGCGUGUGCGCUUGGCUCGAUAGUGGAGCAACUUGGACCGGGUGAAAUUAUGCGUCGCGCAGGCAAGGUGUAAGAGCGAAGAAAGAGAAGAGCAAUCAUGUAGAGUAGGGCGGGCUCGCAGCGCAAGAGCAGCGAGUGUUUGGCAAGAUGGCUGCUGCAGUGCCACAAGUGUCAUGUGCGGCGGGUUACCAUAGGGGAGGGGGAGAAAACAGAACAAUGCGCCUUUCCCCCACUACGCUUGCCUCCGAGCAAUACAGUGUAUC
rnacentral:misc_RNA from 1 species